rnacentral:rRNA from 1 species
GUGGGGCGGGGAUAAUAUGCAGGGACACGCCUGUCUGAGGGUCGGCUACACACAGGACUCCGGUCCGAUGAGCCUGGCCACCGUGCCGCGCCCUGCGCGCGAGCCCGGUGAGCUUUUCGGGAGUUCUCUCCGUACCGGUGGGGUCCAGGCCCUGGCCGGCGGGAGAGUCUCCUCAGAUACGUACGUAUUCACGUCCGUGGAGGUGCGCGGACCUCGUCCGACUGCCCCGCCUGUCCACUGCGGUGACCGACUACGCCAGUGAAAGUAGUCAACUACGUGCAGUGUCUGGCGAUCACUGGCGUCAUCGAGACUCCGUCGCCCACCACAGGGCUGGCGAGUGUGUGAGUGCACGAUCGAACCGAAGGACCUACGGCUGAGGGUGGCUGUGAGUUGAUCUGCUGUCUGCGGAAGCAGGGAUUCGGCCCUCUGACGUUCAAAGGUCUGGCUGGUGCGCGGUCGGGUUCUCACGCCGUGCCGACCAAAGUGAUGCGACCUCAGAUCAGGUGGGCUUACCCGCUGAAUUUAAGCAUAUUAAUAAGAGGAGAGAAAAACAAAAA